CGAAACCCGGUGAUCUAGCCAUGAGCAGGUUGAAGGUUGAGUAACAUCAACUGGAGGACCGAACCCACUAACGUUGAAAAGUUAGGGGAUGACUUGUGGCUGGGGGUGAAAGGCCAAUCAAACCGGGAGAUAGCUGGUUCUCCCCGAAAUCUAUUUAGGUAGAGCCUCGGACGAAUUCCAUUGGGGGUAGAGCACUGUUAAGGCUAGGGGGUCAUCCCGACUUACCAACCCUUUGCAAACUCCGAAUACCAAUGAGAACUAUCCGGGAGACACACGGCGGGUGCUAACGUCCGUCGUGAAGAGGGAAACAACCCAGACCGCCAGCUAAGGUCCCAAAAUAUUGCUAAGUGGGAAACGAUGUGGGAAGGCAUAGACAGCUAGGAGGUUGGCUUAGAAGCAGCCACCCUUUAAAGAAAGCGUAAUAGCUCACUAGUCGAGUCGGCCUGCGCGGAAGAUGUAACGGGGCUAAGCAAUAUACCGAAGCUGCGGCAGCAAGUUUACUUGCUGGGUAGGGGAGCGUUGUGUAAGUGGAUGAAGGUGAGUUGUAAAGCUUGCUGGACAUAUCACAAGUGCGAAUGCUGACAUGAGUAACGACAAUGCGGGUGAAAAACCCGCAC
rnacentral:rRNA from 14 species